rnacentral:rRNA from 1 species
UCUUUUCGGUCUGUAUUGGAUGAGUCCACUUUAAUCCUUUUAAUGAGGAUCCAUUGGAGGGAAAGUUCUGGUGCCAGCAGCCAUGGUAAUUCCAGCUCCAAUAGCGUAUAUUAAAGUUGUUGCAGUUAAAAAGCUCGUAGUUGAAUCUUGGGAACGGGUGGGCUAGCGAGCCACAGCCUGUCCCUGCUUCUUGCCUCUCGGUGCCCCCUGGAUGCUCUUAGCUGAGUGUCCUGCGGCCCGAAGCGUUUACUUUGAAAAAAUUAGAGUGUUCAAAGCAGGCCCAAGCCGCCUGGAUACUGCAGCUUGGAAUAAUGGAAUAGGACCACGGUUCUAUUUUGUUGGUUUUCGGA